UGAUUUGAUAAGCCAGAGAGAAAUUUACAAGGAAGGGGAAGAUGAAGAAGGAGAAAGAUACACACCCGUAGCACUGUUUCACUGCUUGUGAAGCUUGCCUCCUUGCAGGUGGGUACCACAGGCUUGAACCUGGAUCCUCUGUGUGGUAAUGGGUGUGUUGUUCCAGGUGCGCCACUUCCCGGCCCCCAGACACCUCAUUCAAAUGAGUUUCGCAUUAGGGCCUGGUCCCACCUAGGAGCCUAGGUUUAGUAACUGUGCCCCAAGGUGGAGAUUGUGAGCCAGGUUUUCCCAGAUUGUGUUUCUAAAUGUGAGACAGAUCGAGCACCUAUACACCAAGGCGCUUUGCCCUCAGCUGGCUGGGACUUGGUGAACAUUCCUGGGUGCGGAUGGAUCCUGCUGGAGGGCCUGGCACUAGAAGUCUGUUACAGAUAAAUAAGUAUGAGAGAAGGGAGAGAGAGAGAGAGAUAGAGAGAAUAAGAAGAGAAAAGCAAAAAGGAAAAGAAUUCUCCUUUUUUCUUGGAUUCUUGGAGAGGAUCAGAGGUUCUCCAACCUCCCUGGAGGAGAAUCUUGGAAGCCGCUGGUCUGGAUUAUAGCUGCUCCAGACUGCUCCAGCUAAGGAACCCAGUUUCAAUCCCCAGUACCACCAUUAGCUUUAGCUGAGCAGUAUUCUGGUGUUUCUCUGCGUGUUUUUCUCCCUGGAUCUGUGUGAGGACAAGAAAAUAAAGACACUAUUCAGAGAAAUACGGGAGCCCUUUGGUUGGCUCUAGUCCCAGGUAAGGUGCAUUCUGCUUUAUGUCCACAAGGCGGCAGCAUAACACUACAGGCAGGUGGGCAGGCAGGCAGGCAUAAGUGGUCUGAACUAAGUGUUCAUUUGGGCAGGGUGUCUGCAGUUUGUUCACAGGAUCUUUUCUUGGAAGCUUCCUUCCCGGGAGCUAGAGAGAGGCAGGAGACAGGGGUCAGUGGGCAGAGCACCAGGUCGUGUGGUUGAGGAACCAGGCUCCCUGGUAUAGUGGUUUGGCCACAGACACACAGUGGUCCCGGAACUCUGCCUUUGGCCCCCCUCUCUCUGUCCCGUGGGUCAGCCCCCUUCUGCCUCCUGCUCUGCUCAAAGCCCUAAGGGGAAAUAAGUAAUUUGAGCACCUGUGCUGGGGGGCUGGGCUGUGAGGACGCCGCCGCCGCUGUCGUUCCCAGACUUCCGUGCACAAAGGACCAGGGUUGGAGCCCCUUUCCCAACCUGCAGAGGAAGGAGAGAGCCUUGCUGUGCCCAGUGUCAUGGUGUUGCAGGAACCUCAGAGCUCAGGAUAGAGAGAAACUGAGUAGAGAGGAAGAGGAAGAUAGAUGCCUGCAGACCUGCUUCACAGCUCCUGAAGAGUCCUACUGAAGGUGGGAAGCAGGGUCUCGAACCCUCGUCCUCGCCCAGGUCCUUCCACACACCUUCUGUUUGCUUAACCGAGUGCGCCAUUGCCUGGUCCCCCCGGAAUAGUUUGUUGCUUUGUCAAGUCAGCAUUCAAAUGUUAAGUAUCUUGACUGGUAGGAUGUAGGCAAGUAGGCAGACAGGUAUGUGCCGCUUACAUACACAGAUGUAGGGAAUCUUUCAAAAAAGAUUUGUGUGUGAGCGAGGGAGCACGAGCAUGUGCAUCACUCUGGACCAUGUGGUGCCUGGCGUGGGACCUGGGUCUCCUGCUAGAGGGCCCGGCACUGUAGCCACUGUGCCGCCUCCUGAGCCACGUGGCCGUGAGGAUCCGAGCGCACGGUUUGCACGGACGUUGGGGAGCUCUCAGCUGGGCCUCAUGGGGGAAGUGAUUAAGGUUUGCAAAGACCUUCAAACGAGUGAGCUGGAUAGAUUUCACCUGGAGGAGAAGCCGUGCUAAUGAGAGAAGGGGAAGAAAACACUUAGAUGCCAGAAUGGGACAGACAGAAGACAGUCGAGGAAAAGGGAGGUGGCAUCUCCACAAAGAACAAUACAAAAAGCUCUAAGAUCUGUCUCUCGGCUGCAUCCAAGACCCAGGUGCUAGCUGCCAUGCCGGGUAGUCACAGAGCCGGUGCCGAUCCUGCAGGGCCUGAGACCUGCUUCCUGCCCUGUUCCAGCCUGUCCUUCCGCCUCCGGAGCUGAAAAUUAAAAUAAUUAAUCACUGCGGUUGUGUUCACAGCAGACUUGUUGCCGAGAACUCAGGGAACAGCAGGGCUGGGAUCUCCCUCACUUAUAUUCUCUCUGCUUCCUGCUGUGUCACUCAGCCCCUGUCCCCUCCUGCCACUCUCAGCAGUCUGGAUGGCAGACAAGGCUGGAGUCAAGCUGCAGAGGACAGAGGACGCCCUGCAGACACUUGCAGUUCCUGCCUGAAAGACAAAGACCCACCUCAGGGAAUCAGACCUGGAGAGGUUUAAUGGUUCUGAGGGGCCUCCCUCCUUCUUCCCUGUCUUUAACAAGAGUUAAUGAAAAUAAAACACGUUGAAAA